GUGUGACAGGUCAACCAAAUACAACAAGCAGUCAGUAAAACAGGGGCAUUUUGAUCUUACCCGUGACCUUCAUUUGGACUGUUUAUUCACGUCUUUAGAUCAGCUGUGAGGACGUUAAAUUCACCAUUAACAUAUACCAGACACGGUAGGGAUUUUGAGCUGAUCAGGAUCACCAAACACAAUGGUAUUAUCGUCUUUACACUCCGUGUCAACGUCGCCGAAGAUCCAGAUGAAGUCGAUUUCAAACAGAAACUGCCAACAAUAGAAUCUGAAAACAAAGUGACGCUUCUAUCCAGUAAAUAUGAAUAUGUGUUGACUUCUUUUACUCAGCCUUGACCAAGACUCAUCCAUGCUAUACGAGGUGGCAUAUUUUCCUUCCUAACCCACCACGCUGCAAUAAGGGAACAACUUCCUGACGUAAAAGUGCAGACGAGAGAGACUACAGAAAUGAUUUGUUUUGAGUGUUACAGGGAUGUAACGUUACAAAUUCUGUUGAGUCAGAAUUGCUACAGGACAGACAAAAUGCCAUAUACAGGUGUAGUUAUAUUAAAGGUGCAAAUGAAGUCAAUUUUUGCCACAAAAGCCAACAAAUAUGUCGGCAUAUAGUUUCAAGUAGUAAAACUAAGAGAAUUACCAGAAGGCAUUGUUUAAUUUUAUCCGAAAAAUUAUAUUUGAACGGAUUUUUCUGCUAACAUUCUAUGUUGUAUAUCAAUGUGGCAGAAAAGUAAGUCACCAAAGUAGGUUUAAUUUCUGACCAAAAAUUUAAAGAAAUGAACUGUCAUAAGCUCUUUUAAGGCUGAUCGGGUGAUUUAUUCAGUUUAUCCCUUGGCAUGUUGAAUUUAUUUGAGUCGUAUAAGAAACUAGUAGAAGUGGUUUAUUUGCGUUACUGGGAAACCACUCCUCACCGCUGCUCGGUUCAUAUGUACCUUUAAAAGAACCUGCCUUUGUUCGUCAUGUUUACUUCUUGAAAACUUACUAUAGAAAGUUCAGUAGUGUUUUUAUCCUCCCUGUACAAGUAAAUGGAUAAAUACGGCCAUAUUUUGCUUUCAAAAAUAUCACAAAUAUUCCAUUGCUGAAAACCUACCUCGCAUCCCAUGUUUUUGUGCCGGUGUCACGUGUACGGCCCGUCACGAACUAUUCCUAAACUUAGUAGAAAAGAUUUAAGGAACUAAUAUCAGCUUCAGUUGAAAAACAAGUUUGAUUAGUUUAUUAUUUUGGAAGUUAUACAGUUACUUAGUAUACUUAUUAAGUCCAUUUUCUGUUUUUCUUAAUAUUUCCUUUCUGGUGCAAAAAAGAACAUCAUUCAGUUAAUUUAAAUGGAUAUAUGUGUUUUGUAAUUGUUGAUCUUCAGCGAUCUCUCUGGAAGAAAAAAAUAUAUUUUCCAAGAUGGUAUCUUGGUUACUAAAGGAAAGAAAAAAAAGAGAAAAAGAGCAGCUUAAGGUUGUACUUCUAUCUUGGAUUUCAUCUCUACCCCAGAAAAAGGAGAAAGAUUGAUAGUGAUUGUGCCUCAGGCCUUGGUCAGAGAAAUUUGCUCCAGAUAAAAAACUGUUUGCAGCAGCAUCCUCUUUCCAGGGGUAGUGUCAGUAUUAAAUUGGUAAUGCAUUUCAGUUUUAGUCAAUAAUUCUUCACAUUUUUUAAAAGUCAAAGGCAUAAUUGAGUUUAAGUAUAUUAUUUUUGGAGGUAUUAAUGUAGGCAUAUAAAACAUCAAAUUAGCUUGAAAUGUAAUUUUUACAUUAAAUUUUGAGAAAUUAAAUUUCUUUGAUGAUGUUUCUUAUAUGAAUUUUGCUCAGAUAAGGAGGCAUUUCUUAGACAAGAUUGAAGAUAAAGUGCUUGGUCUACCACAGAUGGGAAGUGAUGCAUUUGUACUGUUGAUUGAUAUUAUUCUUAGAUGAUCCUAUAAAACAAAUAAAAAUUAUCCAGUUAAAAGACUUAAACAAAAUAUUCAUUCCUUUUUGACUGAAACAGUAGGCCAUGUAAUUUUUUUAUUAUAGUGCAAUAGUAGAUGCCAUUGAAGAAAAAAUUCCGUACUUCCAAAAUGUGUUGAUGAAACCUGAGGCAAAAUUAUGUUUAAUUAAGUAGACACGCACAAUUUAUUUGUGAAGUAAAUGAUAAAAGAAUGUGUCUUUGUUUCAUAUUGCAGAAAAUGAGCCACCUAGAUAUAAGGAAACAUCUCGAAGUCAGUGUGUGGAGUCGGGUUCAGUACUGAGACAGUUGAAUUUUACAAUUUUGUUUUACACUGUGUUUCACAGCAUACGUGUUUCAUUCAGUUACUCAAAUAGCCUUUUGUGCUAUAAUGCACUGUUGCAUCAUCUUGGAUGAUUAGGCAAAUAAACUCGGUUUUAACAUUGUGCUUGUAAUGAUUAAUCCAUUUUUUGUUGUAUUUAAAUGCAGUGAUUUCUCAUUGUUUUUAUGUGAUAUUUAUUGUACAUCAUGAAUUACAAAUAUUUUGUCAUUUAGGGAAAAUAUACCCAGUUAACCCAAUUAAACAAGUUAGACUUUUUGUGUGUCAGUGUACUUGUGAAAAUGAUUUGGAAUUAUAUUUUUAUUACUGAAAUAUAUCAGUUUUGAUUCAUCAAUACUAAUUAGUGAUGUAUCUUCUUUUCAAUGGUACCAGUUUGUAUUUUGCAAUGUUGAAUUAAUUUCACAGUAUUGAUGGAGGCAGUGUAUCUCUUUUACACAUUUUGGUAACAUUUUUCUUUUUUCUUUUUUAGAUAUAUGAUUUUUUAGAUAUAUGAUGGUAGUUGCAGUUAAUAGUAAGUGAAUUUUUUUUUGUAUAUUCGGUCUGUGAUAUAUGAUAUCAUUUACCAUGUGCUGUCAAAUUGAAGGAUAUUCUGAAUUUUUUAUAUUGUACUUAUUAUUAUUAUUAUAACAACAAUAAUUAGAAUAUUGUUUGAUUUUUCACUUAUAUUCACUACUAAUGAAAUAUUGUAU